rnacentral:rRNA from 1 species
CCUACGGGAGGCUGCAGUCGAGAAUCAUUCACAAUGGGCGCGAGCCUGAACCAGCCAAGUAGCGUGAAGGAUGACUGCCCUACGGGUUGUAAACUUCUUUUAUAAAGGAAUAAAGUGAGGCACGUGUGCCUUUUUGUAUGUACCUUAUGAAUAAGGAUCGGCUAACUCCGUGCCAGCAGCCGCGGUAAUACGGAGGAUCCGAGCGUUAUCCGGAUUUAUUGGGUUUAAAGGGAGCGUAGAUGGGUUGUUAAGUCAGUUGUGAAAGUUUGCGGCUCAACCGUAAAAUUGCAAUUGAUACUGGCAGUCUUGAGUACAGUAGAGGUAGGCGGAAUUCGUGGUGUAGCGGUGAAAUGCUUAGAUAUCACGAAGAACACCGAUUGCGAAGGCAGCUUACUAAACUGCAACUGACAUUGAUGCUCGAAAGUGUGGGUAUCAAACAGGAUUAGAUACCCCUGUAGUC